rnacentral:lncRNA from 1 species
ACGACAGGGUUGUGUACAAACACAUGAAUAUUGAUAUGGAUAAAAGCGAAGAGUACUUAUAUAGCACAUAAAAGAUAUUGUGCAGAUGUUUACGUGGAGUACCUAUAUUUCACAUUAAGUCAUUUAAUGUAGAAGUUGAGCACGAUGAAGAGAGUGGUGGAAAUCUGUCUUCUUUGGAUAUUUCUGAACGUCGUAAGCGGCAGAGAAAGGCGUUCCAUUACUGACAAUAGGUUUAGAGAAAGUGCUUUCUGAAACAAACAACAGAAAUGGUCAUCUACUCACAAAGCUCCUAAGUUCACAAUACCAGAAAAGGCUCACGGAGGAUUUGGAUCGGUAUCUCGCUGAGAAAAAACGCCAAAUUAAUCAAGAGGAUGUUGAACUCGCAGACGAAAGAAAGACUCAGGAGACGCUUGAAGAAGUGCUUGAAGCGCGUGCGGUACUGGAACGGAAGUUGAAUUCGGCAUUAUCAGACUGGUUGAGUACGAAAAUUAGGAGACUGGACGAGAAAGAAAAAGACCGAAGAGGGUGGGGCAACGGUGAACUGCCUCACGUCAAUUGAUAAUAUUAUGGAUUUUAUUUUCCGCUCUGUUUGGCUUUUUUGGGACAAAGAAUCUUUAUGCGACGAUCUGGGAAUUUAAGUAAUUUGAUGAUCUGGAAUGAAAAUAAUCAUUCAAAAACCUGUUACUGGUCAAAUAUUUAGUGAGGACAAAUUUCAAAUUUAAAAACUUAAAAUAUCCUUCUAUAACUUUUUAGCCUCUACGAGCAAUGAAAAUGAAAAUUAGAUGUACAAAUUGAUGACUUGUAAAAUAUACAUACUUCACGCAUGACAUGCGUUCAAUGGUUCUUAAGUUUCACAUCAACAACUACACCUUUUCAUUCAUCUUCUACUAUGGUAUGCUACGGCUGUUUUGUUUACGGAAGUAAACCUAUUUUCAUCCUUUCAUUUCUAUUUAAAGUUUUAAAGUAAGCGUGUGAACCCGUUUUUAGAAAACAGCAGUAGAAGGAAACACACUUGCGGUUGAUGUAAGCGCCGCCCACAUCGUAGUAUAGUUGCAAAACGUACAAUAGUAAAAUAUUUAAGUUAGCUAGACAAUAAAUAAAUACAGAUAUGAAAGAAAAAAAUGCCAACAUAAAACAACAGAGUAAAGGGGAAAGUUUCCCACGCAUUAAGCAUGAAGAAAUUAUGAAUGUUUCAAGAGGGUGUGCGCCAGGAAAAUCGGCACAUAGAUACCACUGAAGCUCUGGACAGUGUUUUUUUUUUUUUAGAAAUAACAUCAUUGCGAACAUGGUAUUUUGGUUACAAUCAAGAGCUAAAGCCGGAAAAAACUUGGUCACCAGGUUUUAACAAAAUCGAAAAAAUAUGUCCAAGUAAAUGCACAUGAAAUACUUUAUUUUAACCAUAUUCUCAUUCGUCUGGUAUUUUCCUUGUCAUUCGUCUUUACAAUAUAAAGGAAUGUGAUUACCUGUUUAUCAUUAUAAUUGUUUUUGCCCAUCUAUGCUAUGCUGAAUUUCUGUAAUUUUGUUUGAUCAUGUUGUUAUACCAUCAUAGUUGGAUAUGAAUCAUAUAAAGUCUGUCUAUAUGUCUGUCUGUAUAUCAUAUUAAAUCAAAUCAAAUAAAAGGCUCUAAAAUAGUGAAAACGUGUCAGUCUUCCUUGAAACUUCAUCUCUACGAUUAUGAAUAUAAACUCUUAAGACAAAAUUUACAACGAUUCUAAUAUUUUACUUUUGCCUUGACGAUGACUGUUUCGUUGUUUAACAUGUAUCAUUGACUCAACAGGCUGUUGUGACCUUAACCAUUGAUGUAGCAUGUCGCACCUGUUUAAAACAUUCUAGCUUACGCGCUUGACAUAAAUACAUAAUUUUUCAAAAAUG